CAGCCUGGGUAAGAGUGAGACCUGGUCUCAAACAUGUGUAUUUUUUUUUCAUAUGCUCUGAUGAUACUAGUGACUUGAGGACAUGUGUUUGGCCUGUCUCUGCCGUGGUUCUGCUGGAUUUGUGCUGAGUGACCUGCACGCUCUUGCCCAUAUCCUCCCAGUCAGAAGGAUGCAUUUCUAACAAGGCUGGUGGUGGCAAUCCAAUGUUCUGACUGUGGCACUGGGUGGGUCUAGGUGUCUCACUGGUGGCCCCAUCCAGGCCGCACUCUGUGGGCUCAUCAGCCAUUUUUGUACUUGUUUAAAUUGCAUAUCACAGAUGCCCAAGACAGUGGUGAAGAAUUUUUUUCCUUUCCAACUUUUUAAGAGGUUCCUGUGCAGAUGUACUACGUGGGUAAAAUGUGUGUUGCGGGGGUCUGGUGUGCAGAUUCUUUGGUCAUCCAGGAUCUUUAAUUUAAAGGAGUCGCUAGAUGUAUUCGUACCUCGAUCUCCUCAUUCAGCGUGAUGGAUUCAAUCCCUUGUAUAUCAUGCAAUUGUUUUAAAGAUUAAAUGGGUUCAUAUGUUUGAAGCACUUCGGAUGCAUCAGGCAUACGGUGCAGAGAAUGAGGAUCAGAAACACUGAAGAACUUGCCCAGAGAUCCAACCAGUGAGUAGCCAGCUUCAGACUGAUAUGACCGUCAUUGUCCCUGACCAUGACCCGUCACAUGGCCAGCUCCGGAUGGAUUGGAAGGUCUGCGGGAACGAGCUUUGGCCUAGUGCCAAGAUCAUCCGACCAGCCCUUCUCCUGCCUCCUCUUCUCCUGUUUCCUAUUUGGGAGGACAUAGACCCCAGAUGUCCCACUGCAGAGUCCCCGUGUAGGAAGGUCAACCCAGUGUGAGCUCCAGCUUCCUCCUGGAAAACUCCUACUCACUCGGCAAGCUUCAACUCAAGAGCAUGACACGUCCUGAUCCUAGCCUCGGCAGUCAGUCUCAGUUUCUCCUAGACCUGCUGUGCACCUGCUGCCACCUCCAUCUGAGCACUCAAGUGGUCAAUGCAGGGUCUCACCUGUACUGAUCUCCAUCUGUGUACUCAGCUAGUUUUCGCUUCUAUCCAAGAAUUCACAGAACUUUCUGCCAUAACUGUCCUGCCCUCCCCGACUUCCUUGUGACCUCCUCGAGGCCAACUACUCCAUCUUAUUUAUUUUUACACACUCAGCACCUGCCACUUAGAAGAUGGCCAGAAAAGGGUUUAAUGAAUGCUUGUGUCUGAUAAUCAAGUCAGAAACUUCCUUCUCUGGGACACUUCGGUGCAGCCACUUCCUAUAGUCUAAGAAUUGUGAUCACAGGGACAAGAGAUGCAUUUCGUCUUUCUAUGAAGUGCCACCAGGUCUAAAUAUUAUUUGGGUACAUUUGUACAACUCCUGUGUCUGGAAAAUGUGUGUUUAAAAAUCAAAUGGAAGACAGCCAAAUAAAGUUUGUAUUACUUCCUUUCAUCUUCACAGCAACCCUACAUAGACAUAUUGUUAUUAUCCUCAAAUAAUGGAUGAGAAAACUUGCAUACCCUGCUGAAGGUCAUUCGGGUAGGUCAGGAGAAGCACUGGGAUUAGACCCAGGCUGGUUGACCUCAGGGCCCACGCUGUCACCCAUUCUCUCAGACAAAACACCUGCUUUGCACUGGCGUACCAUACUGUUCAGCGUGCUUCCACUGCAUUUUAGAGUUGUUUUCUCUAAAAAGCAGAGCUGAUGUUAUCAUCAUCUCUAUUUUAUAGAUGAGGAAAUUAACGCAGAAAAGGCAAGUACCCAAGCUUGCAGGAUUAGCAAAUGACACUUCCAGGGUUUUUGUCUCCUAUUGUAGGGUUUUGCUUUUUAACCCACCAGGCUUAUGGAAUUUUCGUGGAACGAACUGAAAAUAAAAUGGGUCUUUAUUUCACAAAGCAGUGUUCAUUUCUCACCUUGGCAACUUAAAGAAGAUGCAUUUUUCACUGGUUACAGAUGUGUAGUAUGCCUUGAUGUGGGGACAGUGACUCUUCCAAAAUCUAAGCUUAGCAUUCAUGCUGCUGAGGACUGAGAAGCUCCUUAGUAAGUCAAGGAUCAGAACUAUUAGCAUUAUUCAUCCUCACUUCAUUAUCUUAAAUGGCUAACACUUGUUAACUAGGGCUUAUUAUGUGCCACACAGUUCUUCAUGCUUUACAAAUAUUAACAACAAAUUACAUCCACAUACUGAAGCAGGAACAACCCCUAAUGAUCUGCAUUAUACAUAUCAGGGACAGAAGGAAACAGUCAUGUGACUGCCUGAAGCCACACAGCUAAUUAACGGGGGAACUCAGAUUUUGAAGCCAGGCACUGUGGCCCCAGGGACAUGCUCUUAACCACUAUUUACUUACUUUCCCUUGGCAUAAAGAAGUGAGGUGGCAUCACCUGGCUGUGUCAGAAGAAACUGUCAAGAAAGCAUGUGAUAGUACACAAAUAAAAAUUAAGGCAUUUGAUGGUCAUGGCCAGGUGCCCUGUCUCACACCUGUAAUCUCAGCUCUUUGGGAGGCUGAGGUGGGAGGAUCACUUGAGAC